AACGAACGCUGGCGGCAUGCCUAACACAUGCAAGUCGAACGAGACCUUCGGGUCUAGUGGCGCACGGGUGCGUAACGCGUGGGAACCUGCCCUUAGGUUCGGAAUAACUCCCCGAAAGGGGUGCUAAUACCGGAUAAUGUCUUCGGACCAAAGAUUUAUGGCCUUUGGAUGGGCCCGCGUUGGAUUAGCUAGUUGGUAGGGUAAAAGCCUACCAAGGCGACGAUCCAUAGCUGGUCUGAGAGGAUGAUCAGCCACACUGGGACUGAGACACGGCCCAGACUCCUACGGAAGGGAGGAGUGGGGAAUAUUGGACAAUGGGCGAAAGCCUGAUCCAGCAAUGCCGCGUGAGUGAUGAAGGCCUUAGGGUUGUAAAGCUCUUUUACCCGGGAUGAUAAUGACAGUACCGGGAGAAUAAGCUCCGGCUAACUCCGUG
rnacentral:rRNA from 1 species